CUCUUUCAAACAACAGACCUAGUGCAUGGUGGCUCUGAACAAAGGAACAAACAAUUGUCAAACCCACUCGACUACUAAUCAACGAGCUUCCGUAAUGAUGAGAAGAAAUGCCAAUAAAAAAAAUCACAGAGGGUGGACGGCGACAGCUACAUAAAAAUUCCUCCUUUCAACACACUGACGAGCGGAUGACGAGCCGGAUUGGAGGGUGUCGUGGAGGAGAGAGAUUCAGAACCCUUAUGAGGAGGAGCAAGCGCUGAAAAAGUAAAGUCGUCGUGCAAAUUAGGUCAAGUUCAACUUAUGAAGGGUGGCACCAGGUCUCCGGCUCGCGGCUCCUGGGGGUCACAUACUUUUUCUGUCACAUUAGGAGAUUAACAAGAUGCUCAACGCUUCCCCGUCUGCAAACGUCCGGCAGCAGCUGAACUCAUUUGCAAAAGGAACUUUUUGAUCCAGCGAAAAACAACCGCAUGAAUCGAAGCGAUGGAUACGAAAAGGGAGUAAGAGAUUUGAUUUAUAUAUACAUAUAUAUAUAUAUAUAUAUAUAUAUAUAUAUAUAUUCUUUAUUUUGCCAACUGACUCUUCACUGGCUUCCACUUAUCGGUGGCAGGCAUUUAUCAUCUGGGCCCCCGAAGCAUCACUGACUCACUGACACUGCGAUUGUCAACACCGAACACUUGAGCUGCUGUGAUUUAUUGUACAGAGCGAGCGGCUUUACAGGAGGGAAAGCAUAUAGAUUCAUCAUCGUCAUUUAGUCAAUUUGAAAUAUUUUUCCUUGGAAGAAAAAAACCCCAAUGAUGUCAAAGGAUGCAAAAUAACAAUGCCUUCUCUUUUUUUUCUUUUUUUUUUUGCACAGCAUGGAGGAGUGUAUGAUGAAAUUAUUAAUUAUAAAAAAAAUUGAACUUUGUGUCAGCAAACUAAAUUUGUGCAAGCAUCCCAAUGCACAUGUCUUCACGCGUGGAAUAAGUAAUGCAAAGGUUGUUGUUUGUUUGCUGCACUGCAGAUUUACAUUUCAAAAUAAUAAAAAAAAACUUUAAAAAACAACAUCAGUAAUAAAACAAGAGCACAAAAUAGAAUGAAAUAGAAUAAAAAGGAUACAAAAAAAAACAAAAAAACUUAUUGUCAAUUUAAUAUUUCAAAUGAGAUAUUUAAAGAGGAGAAGUGAAAACAU